AGAGUUUGAUCAUGGCUCAGGAUGAACGCUAGCGAUAGGCCUAACACAUGCAAGUCGAGGGGCAGCACAUGACGUAGCAAUACAGAUGGUGGCGACCGGCGGAUGGGUGAGUAACACGUAUGCAACCUACCUUUAACACGGGCAUAACUCGAAGAAAUUCGUGCUAAUUCCCGAUAACACAGGGGCACCGCAUGGUGAUAUUUGUUAAAGAUUUUAUCGGUUAAAGAUGGGCAUGCGCUCCAUUAGUUAGUUGGUGAGGUAACGGCUCCCCAAGGCAACGAUGGAUAGGGGGACUGAGAGGUUUAUCCCCCACACUGGUACUGAGACACGGACCAGACUCCUACGGGAGGCAGCAGUGAGGAAUAUUGGUCAAUGAGCGAAAGCUUGAACCAGCCAAGUCGCGUGAAGGAUGAAUGUCCUAAGGAUUGUAAACUUCUUUUAUACAGGAAUAAUAGUUGCCACGUGUGGCGGCCUGCAUGUACUGUAUGAAUAAGGAUCGGCUAACUCCGUGCCAGCAGCCGCGGUAAUACGGAGGAUCCGAGCGUUAUCCGGAUUUAUUGGGUUUAAAGGGUGCGCAGGCGGGAGAUUAAGUCGGCGGUGAAAUUUUGCGGCUCAACCGUAAAAGUGCCUUCGAAACUGGUUUUCUUGAGUGUAGAUGAAGUAGGCGGAAUUUGUGGUGUAGCGGUGAAACGCAUAGAUAUCACGAGGAACUCCGAUUGCGCAGGCAGCUUACUAAACUACAACUGACGCUCAUGCACGAAGGCGUGGGGAUCAAACAGGAUUAGAUACCCUGGUAGUCCACGCAGUAAACGAUGAUUACUAGUUGUUUGCGAUACACAGUAAGCGACUGAGCGAAAGCAUUAAGUAAUCCACCUGGGGAGUACGUUCGCAAGAAUGAAACUCAAAUGAAUUGACGG
rnacentral:rRNA from 1 species